CCGAGUUACAACUCCCAAACCCCUGUGAACAUACCACUUGUUGCCUCGGCGGAUCAGCCCGCUCCCGGUAAAACGGACGGCCCGCCAGAGGACCCCUAACUCUGUUUCUAUAUGUAACUUCUGAGUAAACCAUAAAAAAUCA
rnacentral:misc_RNA from 1 species